rnacentral:rRNA from 1 species
GAAUUUGGAUCCGAACGGGGAGGACGAGCGAGCGAAGUUUGCGGAAGUGUUUAGAGAUUCGUAGCUGGCCUUUUGGAAACGAAGGCAUGUGCACGUCUCGACCCUCUGCUUAGUCCUCGCUCUCUUUCCUUUCGUAAAUCUUUGACACCCGUGCACCUCUUGUAGGUCCCUGCGAGGGGACCUAUGUCUUCAUAAACUCUUCGUAUGUCCAGGAAUGUAUCUGAAGCGUCGUCCAGUCGGCGACGGUAAAGAAACGUAAUACAACUUUCAGCAACGGAUCUCUUGGCUCUCGCAUCGAUGAAGAACGCAGCGAAUUGCGAUAAGUAAUGUGAAUUGCAGAUUUUCAGUGAAUCAUCGAAUCUUUGAACGCACCUUGCGCUCCUUGGUAUUCCGAGGAGCAUGCCUGUUUGAGUGUCAUUUAAUUCUCAACCGUCCCUCGAUUGAUUUUCGAGGGUUUGGCUUGGACUUUGGGAGCUGCCGGCGACCGAUCGGGUCUUCGGCUCUCCUCAAAAGCAUUAGCGACGGCGGUGUGACCUCCCCCGUGCACGAACGGCCUUCGACGUGAUAAUGAUCGUCGUGGGCUGGAGUGCUAGCGGGCGUCGUGUCGCGUUCGGCGCUUCUAAUUCUCGUCGAAAGACGAAAUAUAUCGAAACUUGACCUCAAAUCAGGUAGGACUACCCGCUGAACUUAAGC